rnacentral:rRNA from 1 species
UACGUAGGGUGCAAGCGUUAAUCGGAUUUACUGGGCGUAAAGGGCGCGCAGGCGGUUCUGUUUGUCGAGUGUGAAAGCCCCGGGCUCAACCUGGGAACUGCGCUCGAAACGGCGGAACUAGAGUUCGGGAGAGGAGAGUGGAAUUCCCAGUGUAGAGGUGAAAUUCGUAGAUAUUGGGAAGAACACCGGUGGCGAAAGCGACUCUCUGGACGGCAACUGACGCUGAGGCACGAAAGCGUGGGGAGCAAACAGG